rnacentral:lncRNA from 1 species
UGGCAUGCACGUCAUUCCAACGUUCCCGUUAGUGACUUACUAAGAAGUACCAAUUGCUAGAAGCAGUGAAAGAUUCCAAGUCUACCCAUUGCCGAGAGGUGGUAGGCAUCAAUGCAUGAAGGACAUUCUGUUACCAUCUAUAGUUUCUCUAAGAUAGCCAAGAAGACUUACAUGCACUGUACUAAUCUUUUCUUUUUAUUAUUUUUGAACAUGUGACUUCUUCAGGACCCUUCAAAAAACAAUUCAUGCCAAAGUUCCUGGGCAUAUUGGAUUGUCCCCAUCGUGGGUGCUAUUCUUAUAGGUUUCCUGUAUCGUCACUUCUGGGCUGACAGCAAAUCCUCCUGAGGAGGCCACGUUGAAGUGUCGGAGCACAUCUCCUGGGAGUGAGAGGUGGAGACUUGUGUGGAGGCUGCAGGGUGCUCCUUCCUUGGAUCCUGCCAGUUGUUUUCUUUCCCCUUGGAGCCAAGAUGGUUGACCAGAUAUCUAUCCUCCUUCAAUGCAGGACCAGAAUCUGUCCAUCAGCCUGAGCCUGACGCCCAAAGCACCUGCUCACGUUGUGUCCUUGUCAGGGUUUCUUCUCACUGGUUCCCACUCAUUCCCUUCAUUUCAACAGUUGAUGCCAAUGACUUAGAGUUCCUUUGUUGUAGUGACAUGGCCUUUGGGGACAGUACAUGAUUUCUGAUACUUUGAAUUCACAGUAGACAUAGUUAAGGGAACAGCGGUCUAGUUUUGAGUCUUUCCCCAUUUUUCUUUUAAGUAAAUUUUUUUAAUUCUG